GUGCUCGCUUCAGCAGAACAUAUACUAAAAUUGGAAUGAUACAGAGAUUACCAUGGCCCCUGUGCAAGGAUGACAUGCAAAUUUGUGAAGCAUUCCAUAUUUUU
ensembl:snRNA U6 U6 spliceosomal RNA